UAAGGAAUAUUGGUCAAUGGGCGCAAGCCUGAACCAGCCAUCCCGCGUGCAGGAUGAAGGUCCUAUGGAUUGUAAACUGCUUUUAUCAGGGAAGAAACGCCUUCAUUUAUGAGGGUCUGACGGUACCUGAGGAAUAAGCACCGGCUAACUCCGUGCCAGCAGCCGCGGUAAUACGGAGGGUGCGAGCGUUAUCCGGAAUCACUGGGUUUAAAGGGUGCGUAGGCGGGGAAUUAAGUCAGUGGUGAAAGCC
rnacentral:rRNA from 1 species